CCAUGCGUCAAAUGGCUGCGCUGUAUCAUCUCUCUUCCUUUUAGAAAAUUUGGUUGCACCACCACGUGUAAUCUGUGAGAACGUUUACUCAAGAUGCAGUUGUUUAUUCGCGGAGAAAAUCUACAUACUUUCGAUGUUACUGGCGGGGAGAGUGUGUUCGAUCU